GAUGAACGCUGGCAGCGUGCCUAAUACAUGCAAGUCGAGCGAACGGACGAGAAGCUUGCUUCUCUGAUGUUAGCGGCGGACGGGUGAGUAACACGUGGAUAACCUACCUAUAAGACUGGGAUAACUUCGGGAAACCGUAGCUAAUACCGGAUAAUAUUUUGAACCGCAUGGUUCAAAAGUGAAAGACGGUCUUGCUGUCACUUAUAGAUGGAUCCGCGCUGCAUUAGCUAGUUGGUAAGGUAACGGCUUACCAAGGCAACGAUGCAUAGCCGACCUGAGAGGGUGAUCGGCCACACUGGAACUGAGACACGGUCCAGACUCCUACGGGAGGCAGCAGUAGGGAAUCUUCCGCAAUGGGCGAAAGCCUGACGGAGCAACGCCGCGUGAGUGAUGAAGGUCUUCGGAUCGUAAAACUCUGUUAUUAGGGAAGAACAUAUGUGUAAGUAACUGUGCACAUCUUGACGAUACCUAAUCAGAAAGCCACGGCUAACUACGUG
rnacentral:rRNA from 1 species